ACGGGAGGCAGCAGUGGGGAAUAUUGCACAAUGGGCGCAAGCCUGAUGCAGCGAUGCCGCGUGUGGGAUGAAGGCCCUAGGGUUGUAAACCGCUUUCAGUAGGGAAGAAAAUGACGGUACCUACAGAAGAAGGUGCGGCCAACUACGUGCCAGCAGCCGCGGUGACACGUAGGCACCAAGCGUUGUCCGGAUUUACUGGGCGUAAAGAGCUCGUAGGCGGUUCAGUUAGUCGGGUGUGAAAACUCUGGGCUCAACCCAGAGACGCCACCCGAUACUGCUGUGACUAGAGUACGGUAGGGGAGUGGGGAAUUCCUGGUGUAGCGGUGAAAUGCGCAGAUAUCAGGAGGAACACCAGUGGCGAAGGCGCCGCUCUGGGCCGUAACUGACGCUGAGGAGCGAAAGCAUGGGUAGCAAACAGGAUUAGAUACCCUGGUAGUCCAUGCCGUAAACGUUGGGCACUAGGUGUGGGUCUCAACCAACGAGAUCCGCGCCGUCGCUAACGCAUUAAGUGCCCCGCCUGGGGAGUACGGUCGCAAGACUAAAACUCAAAGGAAUU
rnacentral:rRNA from 1 species